ensembl:lncRNA
AGUUAUUCUACCAUCAACUGGAAAGUGGAAGUUCUUUGUUUGUUUUGAAGAGGACACUUCCACUAACAUUCUUAGCUGUUUCUCUGACACCUGUGAUGUGUGUUUCCAGUCCCUAAAGCAGCGUGGUCUCAUCCCUUCUCUACUGUUUCAACUCUUCACAAAUGAAAACAUCUAAUCGCCAAAGUGGUGAAGAAGGAGGUCAUCUACAGAUGACAGGAGCAGUGGCUUGUUUCUUCCAGAAGACUUGAGGAUGCAACUUCUCAGUCGUGAUGACGAGGUGGCAUCUCUGCUGGUGAUGACGAGGUGGCAUCUCUACUGGUGAUGACGAGGUGGCAUCUCUACUGGUGAUGACGAGGUGGCCUCUCUACUGGUGAUGAUGAGGUGGCAUCUCUACUGGUGAUGACGAGGUGGCCUCUCUACUGGUGAUGACGAGGUGGCAUCUCUACUGGUGAUGACGAGGUGACAUCUCUACUGGUGAUGACGAGGUGGCCUCUACUGGUGAUGAGGUGGCAUCUCUACUGGUGAUGACUAGGUGGCAUCUCUACCAGCAUCUCUGCUAGUGAUGACGAGGUGGCAUCUCUGCUGGUGAUGACGAGGUGGCAUCUCUACUGGUGAUGACGAGGUGGCCUCUCUACUGGUGAUGACGAGGUGGCAUCUCUGCUGGUGAUGACGAGGUGGCAUCUCUACUGGUGAUGACGAGGU